rnacentral:lncRNA from 1 species
ACUGCCGGGUUAUCGAGUGCCGAGUUUUCGGGACUCUACUGUAUAAUUACUAAAGUAUUUCAUAAGAAAUGAUUUUUUAAAAUGAAAUUUUGUAGAAACUAAGAAUAUACGAUGUAUCUUUGCAAAUCAAGUCCAAUUGUUUUAUAAUGUUUGGAUGAAAACAAUAAAAAUACAAAGUGAAAGAUAGUUAUAUCUUUAUUAAAAUAAAUAGAACAGAACUUAAAAUAUAUAACAACAGAAACAGAUAUAAUAGAAUAUAUAUAUAUGAUAACAGAACAGAACUUAAAUAUAUAAUAAUUGAAAUCUGUUAUACUUUAUCUUUAUACCAAACUUUCAGAAAGACAUGGUAGAACAUAAACUAUAAAUUUGACUAUCCAACAAACAUAUAAACUCUUAUUACAAAAAUUAGUAGAAAACCAAAACAGACAUAAUAACACAAAGGGUCUGCCUGUUGAUUUAAGUGGCGACAACGUGCCUCUUUCUGCUGGAUAUUUGCUUAUCCUAAUAACUGUUCUCCUACUGAUAUCCAGCAUUUCAGCAAUUUCUCCGAAACACUAUUUUCUCUAUGGUGGAUUACCAACUCUCUAAAUUCUUUCGUGAUGGCACGAGGCAUUGUCUUCAGUAUCAUAGCACACCGUUUGACUACGUCAUCCUCAUCCCUGCAUCUCGCCGAGUAUUUCAGGGAAAAUUUUCAUUUCCCCCUAUCGCACAUGGUUUUUUAUUAUCUAUUACGAAAGCCAUAAUAUUAGUCCGCCAUACGUUUUUUAUGAAGACAUCAAUAUUCAUUUUAAACACGUCACAGUUCUCUCGCCGCUAUUAGAACUCUACCCCUCGUUGCUAGCGAACU